AUUGAACGCUGGCGGCAGGCCUAACACAUGCAAGUCGAGCGGAGCGGCGGACGGGUGCGUAAUGCCUAGGAAUCUGCCUGGUAGUGGGGGAUAACGUCCGGAAACGGGCGCUAAUACUGCAUACUAUCAGAUGAGCCUAGGUCGGAUUAGCUAGUUGGUGGGGUAAAGGCCUACCAAGGCGACGAUCCGUAACUGGUCUGAGAGGAUGAUCAGUCACACUGGAAAUGAGACACGGGCCAGAUUCCUACGGGAGGCAGCAGUGGGGAAUAUUGGACAAUGGGCGAAAGCCUGAUCCAGCCAUGCCGCGUGUGUGAAGAAGGUCUUCGGAUUGUAAAGCACUUUAAGUUGGGAGGCGUUACCCGCAGAAGAAGCACCGGCUAACUCCGUACCAGCAGCCGCGGUAAUAC
rnacentral:rRNA from 1 species